rfam:Hordeum vulgare subsp. vulgare, WGS project CAJW01000000 data, contig: morex_contig_48562
AAUAUACUCCCUCCUUCCGGAAUUAUUUGUCGUAGAAAUGUAUAAAAAUAAAUGUACCUAGAGCUAAAAUGCAUUUAGAUACAUCCAUUCCUAUGACAAGUAUUUCCGGACGAAGGGAGUAUAUA